ensembl:lncRNA
GAACUGUCCUCUCACCAUCCGUUCAGGGAAGUACACGCAUCUACGACUUAUGCCUCCUUCCAUUCUGAGCUUCAGCUUACACCCCCCUUCAUCCGCCUCUGCUUCCAGACACACGGGCAGACGGCACAGACUGUCCCCCUUUAGAGAGAAGGGGAGUAGGUGACUCAGUAAAAGAGGUGCAGAGGGGUGUAUUGAUGCUCUGCAGCUGUUCUCUUCGUGCAAGAAGUGCAUCAGUGAGGCAGCUGAAGAAUUAGCAAAGGCUAUGACCGGCUAAUUCAGUAAUAAGGGUCAGAUAAUUACCAGAAUUAAAUGCCCAGAUGGAUAAAAACCAGAACAAGGUCACAGACCCAUUCUUUUAAAUACUGGAGUCUUGAUUUAAAGUACCUUCUUGGAUAUACUGCGUAACGAUAGUAAGGCCAGCAAGAGAUAAAAGUAAGAGCUUCCUUAUCCCUGCAAAAUGAGAAGAUAAUUGUGGUUAUAUAUCUUGAUUAAAAAAAUACUGUAGUACUUUUUUGGCCUUAGCAUCACAUUAGCUUCAAAAGUACAAAGUCAAAAACUGAAAAAAAGACUACAAGCGUCUCCUUUAGAUGGUGUUAGACUAGACUCUAAGUUGAACCAGUGGGGAUUAUAUUUUAUUCAACUAAACAUUCAGCACUCAAUCAGCAAUGUUAGAGAUGAUGGAGGACUAAUCCCGGGCACACAGACACACACGUGUGGUAUCAAUCUCCUUCUCCAACUCCAGGCAAGCGUAUAAACAUGAACCAACAUGUCAAACAAUUCAUGGAAAAAAAGAUAGUUAUUUUUGCUCAACAAACCAACAAUAAAUAGAUAGAAGAAAAUGAACCCUGGACCAACCACAGUUGUCCCUUAAAGAGAGAGAGAAAACAAGCUGGCAUCAAUGCAUAAUGAACAGUCUUGCUACUAAAGUGCACAUCUAGGUGUGAGUUCCACUGAUUAGCAUCACGCAACGUCUCGUCGUGUGCAGGUGUUUGCUUUAUCAGAUGACUGUAUACAAGCCCCCAGGUAAAGGAGUACAAAAAACAACAGCCUGUACAAACAGUAAAAUUCAACUUUGAGCUUGAGCUUGAUGUGUCUCCGAGAAAGGAGGGGUGGAGGUUGUCAACCAGGGAUCCAGCGUGGGUGACAAAUAAAGCAGCGAGACCCAGGAACCACCAAGAAACCAAAGUGAGCUGUGGUAGAUUUCACAGCGGGUGACAGGCAGCGUGUGAUUGGGCAAAUGUGGGCACGAGGGGGGGAAGGGACAAGGCAAACCGUCCCAAGUAGGAGAGGCAAGAGGGU